UUCCUAAAUAUACCAGUGAUAGAAAAGCUAUGCUACUAGAAAACAUUGUGAUAUUAAGAUAGGAUAUUUUUCAUUCAAAAUGAAUUUUAAGCAUUAAAUUAACUACGCAACCAACAUUGCAUUGUUAUGGUAAAUAUCAAAAUUAUUUUGAAACAUGAAGCUCGUGUCUCAACCAACUUUCAGUCGGUGACUAAACUGAUGAUUUUUUGUUUCACAAAAGAUUUUAAAACUUUUUUAUUAGAGAGCCAACGUUUCCCAUCAUUCGUCUCAAGCACAAAAUUUAGUAUUUCAUUUUCAUCAUUGAGUUUGGGCAUUUCAAUCUUAAAUCUCACCUUACCAUUAAUUUGGACAGGAAUAGUAACGGGCUCCUCCAUAUUCUCCUUUUUAUUUUUGGAAAUGGGCCAGUUAGAGUAAACGGAAGAAUUAUGUCCUAGCAGCAACCAACACUCACUUGAAAAACAAGGUAUUAUUGGAGCAAUACAUUUCACAAGCACUUCCAAAGAUGCUUUAAUUGUUCCGAUAUUGACUUUGUUAUUUUUUAAAGCAUCUGCUAUAUUAUUAGUCAAUUUCAUGGCGUCAGAAAUUACUAAAUUGAGAGAAAAUACAUUUUCAUAAUGAGCAGAACAUUGUGAAAUAAAUUCAUUAUAUUGUGAUUCGAGUUUCCUGCUAUUGUGAUCGUCGACAAUAGUUAACUUCGUUUGUCUCAUCGCAUCAGACAUUUUUUUCUCACGUUCCAAUAACUGAUGAACACAAUUCCAUAUUUUGGUUAACCACCGUUUUGUUCCCAUUAUUGCAUUUUCAUUCCAAAGGAGUACGCCUUCCACUGGAGCUGAAAAUAUUAUGUAAGCUCUAAUAAUGUCUGAGCCAUAUUUUUGAAUAGUACGUAUCGGAUCUACACCGUUAUGCUUGCUUUUGCUCAUUUUCUGGUAAGAAAGUUGAACUUUCUCUUUAGGAUUACUGAUUAGAAAAUAUUCGUCUCCAAUUUUCUGGACUUCUUUUGGAUUAAGUAUUCGUUCAUCCGACAUCGUUGUAUAAGUAAGACCAUGAACCAUCCCCUGAGUAAUUAGUUGAGUAAAUGGUUCAUUUAAAUAUUUAUCACCAUUCCAUAACCCAAUAUCCUUCAUGAAUUUUGAAAAAAACCUGGAAUAUAGAAGAUGAAGUAUUGAAUGCUCAACGCCACCAAUAUAAAUAUCAACAGGCAUCAAAGAGGACGCACUUGCUAAACCUACAGGAAGCUCCGAGUUUUUAGAAUCCAAAAAACGAAAAUAAUACCAUGAUGAGUCUACAAAUGUGUCCAUAGUAUCAGUUUCUCUUGUUGCUGGGCCAUGACAUUUCGGACAGGUUGUUUUCAUCCAUGUUUCUAGAUUUGAUAACGGCGAAGUACCUUUUUCAUAUAUUUUAUCAAGAUCAGGCAACUUUACAGGAAGUUCAGAUUCAGGGACUGGGACAGCACCACAGGUUUCGCAGUGAACCAUUGGUAUAGGAGUACCCCAAAAUCUUUGUCUUGAUAUAAGCCAAUCUUUGAGUCUAUAAUUUUUAACACGUUUGGCUAAUUUCUUCUCUUCAAGGUAACUGACAAUCUUUUGCUGAAGCAUUUUUUGCUUGAUAUCCAUUAAAUUCGAAGAAUCAUGAUGAUUCAAAAGUUCUUUUCCCUCAUUUGUAAAAUAUGAACCUAUACAACUUUCUUUAGAAAAUAUUAUGUUAUUACGCUUAGCAAACUCAAAAUCUCGGCGGUCGUGAAUAGGUGCGCCCAUAACGGCGCCAGUACCAUAACAGUCCAAAACGUAAGGAGCAUAAAAUAUUGGUAAAGCUUUGCCAGUUACUGGAUUUUUUGCAAAGCACGGGAGCUGAUAUCCUUUGUCUAGUAAGGAUUCAUUGCGAAGAUGUUCUGCCAACGAAGGAUCCUUUUGGGAUUCUAGUAAAACAAGUUUAUGGUUUUUUGAAAGAGCUAUAAAACUAACAUCUAUUAUUGUUUCAGGUUUAGUAGUGAAAACUGUAAGAGUUUCUUUAUCGUUUAGCAAAGGAAAAGAUAUUUCAAAACCCGUAGUUCGACCAAUCCAAUUGCGCUGCAUCUUCUUUACUUUGUCAGGCCAUUUUGGUAAUGUUUCAAGGUCAUCGAGCAGCUGAUCUGAAUAGUCUGAAAUUUUUAGAAACCAUUGUCGAAGAUUUUUCUUUUCUACUAUGGCACCGCUCCUCCAGGACCUCCCAUGUGAAUCAACUUGCUCGUUGGCAAGGACUGUGCAAUCAACUGGAUCCCAGUUUACAGUGGCCUCUGCUUGGUACGCCAAUCCCUUAUGAAACAUUUGAAGGAAAAGAUAUUGUGACCAUUUGUAAUAAUCUGGAUUACAGGUUGAAAUCUCUCGGUCCCAAUCAAAAUAAAUAUUCAUAUGGUAAGUUUGUUCUUUCAUUUUUUUUAUGUUCUCAUACGUCCAAGAACUAGCUGAUAUCCCGUUCUCAAUUGCAGCAUUUUCAGCUGGUAAACCAAAUGCAUCCCAACCCAUUGGAUGAAUGACUUUGUAUCCUUUCAUCCG
rnacentral:lncRNA from 1 species